rnacentral:rRNA from 1 species
AACGCGUAAGGAACUUGCCUCUUGGACUGGGACAACUGUUGGAAACGACAGCUAAUACCGGAUAUUAUGAGAUUCUCGCAUGAGAAACUUAUGAAAGCUAUAUGCGCCAAGAGAGAGCCUUGCGUUCCAUUAGCUAGUUGGUGGGGUAAUGGCCCACCAAGGCGACGAUGGAUAGCCGGCCUGAGAGGGUGAACGGCCACAAGGGGACUGAGACACGGCCCUUACUCCUACGGGAGGCAGCAGUGGGGAAUAUUGGACAAUGGGCCACAAGCCUGAUCCAGCAAUUCUGUGUGCACGAUGAAGGUCUUCGGAUUGUAAAGUGCUUUCAGUUGGGAAGAA